rnacentral:rRNA from 1 species
UGGGGAAUAUUGCACAAUGGGCGCAAGCCUGAUGCAGCCAUGCCGCGUGUGUGAAGAAGGCCUUCGGGUUGUAAAGCACUUUCAGCGGGGAGGAAGGCGUUAAGGUUAAUAACCUUGGCGAUUGACGUUACCCGCAGAAGAAGCACCGGCUAACUCCGUGCCAGCAGCCGCGGUAAUACGGAGGGUGCAAGCGUUAAUCGGAAUUACUGGGCGUAAAGCGCACGCAGGCGGUCUGUCAAGUCGGAUGUGAAAUCCCCGGGCUCAACCUGGGAACUGCAUUCGAAACUGGCAGGCUAGAGUCUUGUAGAGGGGGGUAGAAUUCCAGGUGUAGCGGUGAAAUGCGUAGAGAUCUGGAGGAAUACCGGUGGCGAAGGCCGCCCCCUGGACAAAGACUGACGCUCAGGUGCGAAAGCGUGGGGAGCAAACAGG